AUCCAGCUGACGAGUCUCAAACAGGACGAAACAUGAGUCCUGGAU
rnacentral:hammerhead_ribozyme from 1 species